rnacentral:rRNA from 1 species
ACGGAGGGUGCAAGCGUUACUCGGAAUAACUGGGCGUAAAGAGCGUGUAGGCGGGGAUAUAAGUCUGAAGUGAAAUCCAAUAGCUUAACUAUUGAACUUCUUUUGAAACUUUGUACCUAGAAUGUGGGAGAGGUAGAUGGAAUUUCUAGUGUAGGGGUAAAAUCCGUAGAGAUCAGAAGGAAUACCGAUUGCGAAGGCGAUCUACUGGAACAUUAUUGACGCUGAGACGCGAAAGCGUGGGGAGCAAACAG